AUGAUUGUCAUUAUACAUCCAUGCAUUUUUUACUUUUCAUAUCAUUGUCUGAAUCAUCUUCACACAAACUUCUUCUAGGAAUAGUUUUAAAAAAAAUCAGAAAAAUUGACAUCUAGUCAUGAAAAAAAUUAAAACAAACAAGUGUAGGUUAGUUUGGAUCAUCUUUGCAUUCCAUCCCCUACAAAAAACAUUUUCCUGUCCACUGGAAACAAAAUAAAUGAGUGUUGC
rnacentral:lncRNA from 1 species